rnacentral:tRNA from 1 species
UCUCUGGUGGCUCAGUGGUAAAGAAUCUGCCUGCAAUGCAGGAAACCUGGAUUCAAUUCCUGGUCAGGAAG